rnacentral:rRNA from 1 species
CGUGAUGGCGACCGGCGCACGGGUGAGUAACACGUAUCCAACCUGCCGAUAACUCGGGGAUAGCCUUUCGAAAGAAAGAUUAAUACCCGAUGGUAUAAUCAGACCGCAUGGUUUGAUUAUUAAAGAAUUUCGGUUAUCGAUGGGGAUGCGUUCCAUUAGGCAGUUGGUGAGGUAACGGCUCACCAAACCUUCGAUGGAUAGGGGUUCUGAGAGGAAGGUCCCCCACAUUGGAACUGAGACACGGUCCAA